rnacentral:rRNA from 1 species
GGGUUGUGAGGUUAAGCGACUAAGCGUACACGGUGGAUGCCCAGGCAGUCAGAGGCGAUGAAGGACGUGCUAAUCUGCGUAAAGCGACGGUAAGGUGAUAUGAACCGCUACAGCCGUCGAUGUCCGAAUGGGGAAACCCGGUGCACUCUGUGCAUCAUUGCAGCAUGAAUACAUAGUGCUGCAAGGCGAACCGGGGGAACUGAAACAUCUAAGUACCCCGAGGAAAAGAAAUCAACCGAGAUUCCCCCAGUAGCGGCGAGCGAACGGGGAGCAGCCCAGAGCCUGAAUCAGCUUGUGUGUUAGUGGAAGCGUCUGGAAAGUCGCAGGGUACAGGGUGAUACUCCCGUACACAAAAACACACAUGCUGUGAGCUCGAUGAGUAAGGCGGGACACGUGGUAUCCUGUCUGAAUAUGGGGGGACCAUCCUCCAAGGCUAAAUACUCCUGACUGACCGAUAGUGAACCAGUACCGUGAGGGAAAGGCGAAAAGAACCCCGGCGAGGGGAGUGAAACAGAACCUGAAACCGUGUACGUACAAGCAGUGGGAGCCUUGAUUUAUCAGGGUGACUGCGUACCUUUUGUAUAAUGGGUCAGCGACUUAUAUUCUGUAGCAAGGUUAACCGUAUAGGGGAGCCGCAGGGAAACCGAGUCUUAACUGGGCGUUAAGUUGCAGGGUAUAGACCCGAAACCCGGUGAUCUAGCCAUGGGCAGGUUGAAGGUUGGGUAACACUAACUGGAGGACCGAACCGACUAAUGUUGAAAAAUUAGCGGAUGACCUGUGGCUGGGGGUGAAAGGCCAAUCAAACCGGGAGAUAGCUGGUUCUCCCCGAAAGCUAUUUAGGUAGCGCCUCGUGAACUCAUCUUCGGGGGUAGAGCACUGUUUCGGCUAGGGGGCCAUCCCGGCUUACCAACCCGAUGCAAACUGCGAAUACCGAAGAAUGUUAUCACGGGAGACACACGGCGGGUGCUAACGUCCGUCGUGAAGAGGGAAACAACCCAGACCGCCAGCUAAGGUCCCAAAGUCAUGGUUAAGUGGGAAACGAUGUGGGAAGGCACAGACAGCCAGGAUGUUGGCUUAGAAGCAGCCAUCAUUUAAAGAAAGCGUAAUAGCUCACUGGUCGAGUCGGCCUGCGCGGAAGAUGUAACGGGGCUAAACCAUGCACCGAAGCUGCGGCAGCGACGCUUAGGCGUUGUUGGGUAGGGGAGCGUUCUGUAAGCCGUCGAAGGUGUGCUGUGAGGCAUGCUGGAGGUAUCAGAAGUGCGAAUGCUGACAUAAGUAACGAUAAAGCGGGUGAAAAGCCCGCUCGCCGGAAGACCAAGGGUUCCUGUUCAACGUUAAUCGGAGCAGGGUGAGUCGACCCCUAAGGCGAGGCCGAAAGGCGUAGUCGAUGGGAAACAGGUUAAUAUUCCUGUACUCGGUGUUACUGCGAAGGGGGGACGGAGAAGGCUAUAUCAGCCGGGCGACGGUUGUCCCGGUUUAAGCGUGUAGGCGGAGGGUCCAGGUAAAUCCGGUCCCUUAUUAACGCUGAGGCGUGACGACGAGGCACUACGGUGCUGAAGUGAUAAAUGCCCAGCUUCCAGGAAAAGCCUCUAAGCAUCAGGUAACACAGAAUCGUACCCCAAACCGACACAGGUGGUCAGGUAGAGAAUACCAAGGCGCUUGAGAGAACUCGGGUGAAGGAACUAGGCAAAAUGGUGCCGUAACUUCGGGAGAAGGCACGCUGGCGCGUAGGUGGAGGGACUUGCUCCCCGAGCCGAAGCCAGUCGAAGAUACCAGCUGGCUGCAACUGUUUAUUAAAAACACAGCACUGUGCAAACACGAAAGUGGACGUAUACGGUGUGACGCCUGCCCGGUGCCGGAAGGUUAAUUGAUGGGGUUAUCCGCAAGGAGAAGCUCUUGAUCGAAGCCCCGGUAAACGGCGGCCGUAACUAUAACGGUCCUAAGGUAGCGAAAUUCCUUGUCGGGUAAGUUCCGACCUGCACGAAUGGCGUAAUGAUGGCCAGGCUGUCUCCACCCGAGACUCAGUGAAAUUGAACUCGCUGUGAAGAUGCAGUGUACCCGCGGCAAGACGGAAAGACCCCGUGAACCUUUACUACAGCUUGACACUGAACAUUGAGCCUUGAUGUGUAGGAUAGGUGGGAGGCUUUGAAGCGCGGACGCCAGUCUGCGUGGAGCCAACCUUGAAAUACCACCCUUUAAUGUUUGAUGUUCUAACGUAGGCCCGUAAUCCGGGCUGCGGACAGUGUCUGGUGGGUAGUUUGACUGGGGCGGUCUCCUCCUAAAGAGUAACGGAGGAGCACGAAGGUCAGCUAAUCACGGUCGGACAUCGUGAGGUUAGUGCAAUGGCAUAAGCUGGCUUGACUGCGAGAGUGACGGCUCGAGCAGGUGCGAAAGCAGGUCAUAGUGAUCCGGUGGUUCUGAAUGGAAGGGCCAUCGCUCAACGGAUAAAAGGUACUCCGGGGAUAACAGGCUGAUACCGCCCAAGAGUUCAUAUCGACGGCGGUGUUUGGCACCUCGAUGUCGGCUCAUCACAUCCUGGGGCUGAAGUAGGUCCCAAGGGUACGGCUGUUCGCCGUUUAAAGUGGUACGCGAGCUGGGUUUAGAACGUCGUGAGACAGUUCGGUCCCUAUCUGCCGUGGGCGCUGGAGAAUUGAGGGGGGUUGCUCCUAGUACGAGAGGACCGGAGUGAACGCACCACUGGUGUUCGGGUUGUCAUGCCAAUGGCAUUGCCCGGUAGCUAAGUGCGGAAAAGAUAAGUGCUGAAAGCAUCUAAGCACGAAACUUGCCCCGAGAUGAGUUCUCCCUGACUCCUUGAGAGUCCUGAAGGGACGUUGAAGACUACGACGUUGAUAGGCCGGGUGUGUAAGCGCAGCGAUGCGUUGAGCUAACCGGUACUAAUGACCCGUGAGGCUUAACCUUACAACGCCAGAGGCGUUU